rnacentral:misc_RNA from 1 species
AUCAACACCCUCAUCAUCACCACCACCCUCAGCAGAUGGGUUGGCACCAAUGUCCACAUCAAUAGCUCCUUGAACGACCCACUUGCCAUCGACUUCCCAGAGGAUGCCGUUCUCGAUCUCUCUGUAGGGGAACGAAUCCGACAGGAGCUCGUCACCGGUAAGCAGAUCCUGGUAGACCAACAUGGUGCCGCCUCUUCAAAUCUCUCCCCCCGAAUUAAAAAAAAAAUUCGGCAGCGGAAACCCUAGAGCUCUCUCGGCGAGGGGGGAGUAGCGGCGCG